GGGGAAUAUUGGACAAUGGGCGCAAGCCUGAUCCAGCCACGCCGCGUGAGUGAUGAAGGCCUUCGGGUCGUAAAGCUCUGUGGGGAGGGACGAACGUCCGGGUGAAGAAUCCGGGGUGACGGUACCUCCUUAGCAAGCACCGGCUAACUUCGUGCCAGCAGCCGCGGUAAUACGAAGGGUGCAAACGUUGCUCGGAAUCAUUGGGCGUAAAGCGCACGUAGGCGGCCCUAUAAGUCGGAUGGGAAAUCCCUCGGCUCAACCGAGGACGUGCAUCCGAAACUGUAGGGCUCGAGUAUGGAAGAGGGUCGCGGAAUUCUCGGUGUAGAGGUGAAAUUCGUAGAUAUCGGGAGGAACACCAGUGGCGAAGGCGGCGACCUGGGCCAAUACUGACGCUGAGGUGCGAAAGCGUGGGGAGCAAAC
rnacentral:rRNA from 1 species